AUGACCGCCUUAGGGUGCAAGUUUGAUCCUGGUCCAAUCAGAACUCGUCAAGUGGAGCCAGCUCGGCUGGGCCGGAGGGCAUUUGUGCAACCGGGCAUGAACAUGCCCGCCCAGGCGGAGCGUAGCUCGAAGAGAAUGCUCGGCAAGUUCCUUCUGAACGAGAGGCACCUGUUCAUAGCCGCGCCGAGCGGGGGACCGUGUGAUGUCUACCUCUUCUUCGGGAUAAUCGGCAUCCUGCAAGACUACGACAUAACCAAGAAGCUGGAGCACGCCUACAAGUCUUUCCAGGUCAACCCUGGCUGCAUUUCUGCUGUGGAUCCCAAGCUCUACUCGAGGAGGUUCCAGGAUUUCAUUUGCAGGGUGUUCGUGAAACAACAGCAAUGUGCUGAAGCCCAACACAAAGCCCAGUUUCAGAUCGAUCAUCCAAUCUGCGCCUGCCGCCCCUGGCUGCGAUGCUAA
rnacentral:rRNA from 1 species